GAUAAACGCUGGCGGCGUGCAUUAUGCAUGCAAGUCGAACGGUCUUGAUUUAUCAAGAUAGUGGCAAACGGGUGAGUAACACGUAAGUAACCUGUCCCUAAGUGGGGAAUAGCUCCGGGAAACCGGAGAUAAUACCGCAUGUUGUGGUGAAGGUAAGGCUUCAUCACCAAAGCCUUCGGGCGCUUGGGGAGGGCUUGUGGCCGAUUAGCUAGUUGGUAAGGUAACGGCUUACCAAGGUUACGAUCGGUAGCUGGUCUGAGAGGAUGAUCAGCCACACUGGGACUGAGACACGGCCCAGACUCCUACGGGUGGCUG
rnacentral:rRNA from 1 species